UCGAACCCGGAGAUAGCUGGUUCUCCCCGAAAUAGCUUUAGGGCUAGCCUCGUGUGAUCCUGAUGGAGGUAGAGCACUGAAUGUCCGAGGGGGCGUCAAAGCUUACCAAAGACUAUCAAACUCCGAAUGCCAUAUAGAUGAUGUACGGGAGUCAGACUGCACGAGAUAAGUUGGGUAGUCAAAAGGGAAACAGCCCAGACCUACAGCUAAGGUCCCAAAGUGCGUGUUAAGUGGAAAAGGAUGUGGGAUUUCAAAGACAACUAGGAUGUUGGCUCAGAAGCAGCCACACAUUCAAAGAGUGCGUAAUAGCUCACUAGUCGAGAGGUCCUGCGCCGAAAAUGUCCGGGGCUGAAACACGACACCGAAGCUCAGGAAUGUCAAAUACAUUGGUAGGGGAGCAUUGAUGACGGGCAGAAGCGGUACCGUAAGGAGCCGUGGACUGUCAUGAAGAGAGAAUGCCGGAAUGAGUAGCGAGAUGAAGGUGAGAAUCCUUCAGGCCGAAUAUCCAAGGUUUCCAGGGUAAAGCUGAUCUGCCCUGGGUAAGUCGGGACCUAAGGCGAGGCCGAAAGGCGUAGCCGAUGGACAGCAGGUUGAUAUUCCUGCACCAUGUAUCAUCAGAACUGUGGGGACACGGAGAGGAAGCGCGAGCCCGGGAUGGAGCCGGGUCCAAGCGGGGUAUCUGUACAGCCGGCAAAUCCGCUGUAUAAGGAGAGCCCGUGACG
rnacentral:ncRNA from 1 species